UACAGAGGUCCCAAGCGUUGUUCGGAUUCACUGGGCGUAAAGGGUGCGUAGGUGGUGAGGUAAGUCGGAUGUGAAAGCUCGGAGCUCAACUCCGAAAUGGCAUUGGAAACUACCUUGCUCGAGGGUUGGAGGGGGGACUGGAAUUCCUGGUGUAGCGGUGAAAUGCGCAGAUAUCAGGAGGAACACCGAUGGCGAAGGCAGGUCUCUGGGCAUUAACUGACGCUGAGGAGCGAAAGCAUGGGGAGCGAACAGGA
rnacentral:rRNA from 1 species